rnacentral:rRNA from 1 species
AAUGAACGCUGGCGGCAGGCCUAACACAUGCAAGUCGAACGGAUCCUUCGGGUUUAGUGGCGGACGGGUGAGUAACGCGUGGGAACAUACCCAAAGGUACGGAAUAGCCUCGGGAAACUGGGAGUAAUACCGUAUGUGCUCGAAAGAGGAAAGAUUUAUCGCCUUUGGAUUGGCCCGCGUUGGAUUAGGUAGUUGGUGGGGUAAUGGCCUACCAAGCCGACGAUCCAUAGCUGGUUUGAGAGGAUGAUCGGCCACACUGGGACUGAGACACGGCCCAGACUCCUACGGGAGGCAGCAGUGGGGAAUCUUAGUCAAUGGGGGAAACCCUGAUCUAGCCACGCCGCGUGAUCGAUGAAGGCCUUAGGGUUGUAAAGAUCUUUCAGGUGGGAAGAUAAUGACUGUACCACCAGAAGAAGCCCCGGCUAACUCCGUGCCAGCCGCCGCCGCAG